rnacentral:tRNA from 1 species
UUAACUAUAGUACAAUCGAAGUACUUUAAGUUGUCAACUUAAAAGUAGGGGAACCUUAGUUAAU